CUCUGAUGAAGCAUUUCUAACUAUUGACGGUGAAUGAGCAGGAGAAAACCAAGCACGGGGCUUCCAGUGAAAUAUCCCAUCUCUUACUUGGUUGCUUUCUCCUCCUCUUCAAAGCAGGGCAAAAAUAUCAGCUCAAAUCUACUUUAUCAGUUUCACAGAUUUACAGACUUCAAUAGAUCUUUUAUAUUCUGUUUGGUAAUGAGCAUCACAAACAGAUCCUACAGUUAAGCUGGCAAAUAGGAAUAAAAAGAGACACAACUAAUUAGAGGAGAAUCAUAAAGGAGUUUUAAAUCCAGGCAAAAGAAGGGUGGAAAUUAGAAACCUUACCCAGACUUCUGUGUUUACUGAGCUUCCUAAAAGGCAUAGGAAAGUUGGGAUUCUGUGUGUUUCAGAAUUUUCUGUUGGCUUGAGACAGCAGAGGGGAGGGCAAGACAUUUUUGCUUUGGCUGUGGGUGCUGUUUUAAGCCGAGGAUUAUUUUCCCUAAGACUCAAAUCUUCCACAGUCCUGGUCUGCCGGAUGUACGUCUCCCUCCGCUGCUGUCCGCUACGAUAGUGUGUUUAACACCAGUGCCACAGAGAGAAGCUUCAGCUGCUCUUGUCCCUUCUGCUGUUACAGCUGUGUUUUGUGAGGGAGCCCAGCCAGGUCCCUGUGCAGUAUCGCAGUCGCGCACCUCCGUAGCUUCCUGCUACUGGCUGUUCACCCCUCUGAUCCGUCCCUUCUCUUCCACCGACCUGCAUCCUUACGGACGCAAAGUCUCUCUCUCGCACCUUGAGGAUGUGGAAUAAGAGCACGCAGCAAAGGGCAGAGAGACGGUCUCCGAGAAGGAGGGAGAGGAAUGGGCGGCUGCGUUCAGUGCCAGCGGUGGAGGAAGCGAGAUGGCAGAGGAACGUGUGUCAGUACCUACGGCAUCUUUCCGCACGUCUUUCAGAUAUGAUGGCUCUUCUGAAGAUGAGAUGUUGCAGAGUUUGCACUGGCGAGAAAGAAACCUAAGGACAGCUCCAUAUUCCUUAGUCAUCUGGUUACAAAUGAGAGUGCCAAAAAGGAACAGGAUUAUAAUUGCUAUUUAUAGAAGCUGGAGAACAAAAGCAGUAUCUUUCUAAAAUCCAGCUUUACUUGAGUUUUAUUUCCUCAUCUCUCCCCAAAAGAGUGUCAAGAUGAAAGUAACUUCGUGAAUUUGAGGAAUGAUAUCUGCAUUUUUCGGAGUAAGUGCUAGGCUGUGAGGUUUUUUCCUUUUAGAAAUUAAUCUGUUGUUUCCUUCAGUGGAUGUUAGGCUCUUGUUUUACUGUAACAUUUAAUACAGCACACUGCAAAAAGGCAGGCGGGAGAGAAGACGUGGUGCUUUAAGAGCAUGAAUAUUUAGCCCUUCAUCACACCAUCUCUUCUGAAGUCUCCAAACAGCCAACUCAAGAAGUUUAGCACAAUUACUAGUGUUACCACUUCCACGUGAAAAUGGCUUCUCAGUGGUUCAGCGAUCCCUAUGUUCAUAGGUAUUCUUCCAAGCAUGUUGAUGUGGCAGCUAAUAAUGCAGUUUUUAGCAUAGACAUUGUUUGGGGUAAACACUAGUUCACAGACGCCCUCAUAAGGCCUAAUAUAGUCGUUGUACAGGGAUUUAGGAGAGACCUCUCCAAGAGUAUGGUGCAUAUGUUGAUUGCUUCAGAGGAGCUCAAGCUUAGCAUCUGUCAGCAUCAGAUAUUCGGCAUAGGUGGAUCAAAGCAAGAACCUUAGGACUCAGGUCUCAAAGUCAGCACGUGAUGCCACGAGAAAUGAUAAGCAACCAGUCUGAUUCUCUGGGCAAUCUUCUGUUUCUGCACAAAGUGCUACUCAGUUCAGAGGUAGCACUGAACCCUCACGUUGCGCUGGCACAAAUGAUAGUGGGGUGUUUGUGAUGACCACAAACUGGGACCUAAAUGUUAUAUAGCUAGUGGGAGGGUAGAAGAGGAGAUUCAGCAUAUCACUUGGAGGGACAGGACUGGGAAAAAUGAUCUUUCAGUACAGAAGUGACAGGGAGGAGGUGUCUAAUGAGCUUCUAGAAGGCUCAGUCUCCUCCUUCCUUUCUUGGUUAAGUUCUUAAGCUUACACAGAGGAGGGGGCAGAGCCUGCAUUUGGUAUUAUUUAGUCGUAUUUCUCUCAAUACAAAUGCAAAAGGGAAAGAAUAGUUGUUGCAAGAGGCUGUUCAGCUACAGAAAUAACUCGCCUCUGCCUGAUUCAUGAAGCUGAGAACUGAUCAGCUCAGUACACCUUCACCUACAUGCACUGAUCGUUUAUUUCACGCUCUUCUCAAAACUAGAUGUAUGAUACAGAAAGAAGGAAAAAGUAGUUCAGGUUUAAGCUCUUAUCACUAAAGUGAGUCUCCUUCUGCAUUAAAAAACUAUCCAGACAUUGUAACAGGAAUGGGUUCAGUUCUUAUGUCAUAAAUUUGUGUGUGUAGAAAAAAGACUUAUUGGUGAAUUUAGCAGUAUUUUUCGUUGAACUGGCAGUUGCUAACCAUUACACCAGUAUUUAUUUGAUUCUUAAAGAGCACAAAAGCAUGGACUACAAAUAAAGAAGAUGGAGUAAUAGCUUCUGACUGGACC
ensembl:lncRNA